rnacentral:rRNA from 1 species
AUUGAAUGCUGGCGGCAUGCCUAACACAUGCAAGUCGAACGAGUGGCGGACGGGUGAGUAAUGUAUGGGAAACUGCCUACUAGCGGGGGAUAACUACUGGAAAGGGUAGCUAAUACCGCAUACCAUCGGAUGUGCCCAGAUGGGCUUAGCUAGUUGUUGGGGUAAAGGCUCACCAAGGCGACGAUCCGUAGCUGGUCUGAGAGGAUGACCAGCCACACUGGAACUGAGACACGGCCCAGACUCCUACGGGAGGCAGCAGUGGGGAAUAUUGCACAAUGGGCGAAAGACUGAUGCAGCCAUGCCGCGUGUGUGAAGAAGGCCUUCGGGUUGUAAAGUACUUUCAGCGGGGAGGCGUUACCCGCAGAAGAAGCACCGGCUAACUCCGUGCCAGCAGCCGCGGUAAUUC